UAUACUACUGGUAGUCAUGUGCUCACUAUCUCUGCCUUACUCUUGAUUCCUGCCUCCAGUGAACCCAGGAUGAAGGAGUGUUUCAACUCAUCUGACUCAUUAUGCCUUCUUUGCCCUGGAUCUGUGCAUAUGAAAUGUUCACCAAGACAGACAAAUGUAGAUGGAUUUCAAACUUUUUGGGACAGAGCAAAAGCAGUGUUUGGAAGAGAAUGGACAAUUUUGUAUGGUUAUAUUAGAACCAAAGAAAUAAGCGAUAUAAACAUUAAAAGCUAAUCUCCAAGUAAUUAGAAGGAAAAAUAUAAUAAAGGGUUAUCUAGAGUUCCACUCAAAGACCACACAUCAGCUGAAUCAUAGUAACCCACCCAGUUUUUAUCACAAUUUUAUGAAUCUGAAAAAAAUCUCAAAGAAAUCAGAAUAAAAACUCUUCCGUUUCUGUUCUAAGAAAUCUUUGAGUGCCCUGGAGCAAGUGGAGCUACUCAUCCUUUACGUUCUUUAUAAAGUACACAGAAAUGCUCUCCAUACCUUGCCACUGCUGCUGGGAAGGAACAGGGGAGGAGUGACAUUGAGAUUCAAGACUAUUUUUCCUACCUCUUCAGUGCCUCUUUCAGCCAUAUGAAGUUAAAACCAGGGGAGAAGAGGAGAGUAAAAGUGAAGAAGAAAGAGGCAAAACAAGUGACUAGACCACAUGCUGAACAAGUUGUAGCUCUCAUUUACUUUUCAGAGAAUGUAAAAUGUUACAACUGCUUUGGAUAACAGUUUGGCAAUUUCUUUAAAAGUUAAGCAUAUAUAUAUAUAUAUAAUCAUAUAAUCUAGCCAUUUCACACAUCAGAAUUUACCCUCAUCCCCAAAUAAAAGCACAAAGAUGUGAAUGCCCAUAGCAGCUGCAUGUGUAAUAACUCAAAACUAUAAAAAACUCAAACACUCAUCAACAGUGAAUAAUUAAACAAAUUGUUUACAGUGAGAAAUUGCAAAAACAUUAUCAGUUGAAAGGAAUGAGCUACUGGUAGCAGCAACAAGGUACACAAAUCUAGAAAUAAUUAUGCUGAGGAAGAGAAGCCAGAAAAAUAUAAUAUAUAUUAUAUUAUCUCAUAUAUAUUAAAGAAUAGAGAAUGCAAACUAAUCUAUAGUGACAGAAAACAAAUCAGUGGCAAUCUGGGAAUGAGGGUAAGGGGUAAGAGGAAGGGAUUAAAAUGGGGCAUGAGUAAAAUUUUGGAAGUGAUAAGUAUAUUUAUUAUCUUGACUGGUUAUGGUUUUACAGAUACAUACUUAACGGUGAAAAUUGGCAGAUUGUACAUUUUAAUAUGCAUAGUUUAUGAAAUGUCAAUUAUAUCUCAAUAAAUAUUAAGAUUAUAUAAGAAUAAUCUAGAGAAAUAAAACAUUUUUUAAAAAAUUAUAGUAAGAGUUGUUCUCUAACCAUUGUAGUUAAUCAGUUUUACUAAAGAAUAACCACAUAUAAAACCUUGUUCCCUUAUUUACAGAAAGUUUCUCCCGUACAGUUUGUACACUGUCUAUUCAUGUGAGCUAAUGCUUUAAAAAUUAACAUGUUAAUUUUCCUAUAUUAUAUGAACCUAGUGUUUUAUCCCAAUAAAUUAAUCA